GAAAAGUAUGCCUCUGUUCUCCAGGCGGACUCCUGAUUGCUAAAUUUGAAAUUGAAUGUCUCUAUUCUCCAGGCGGACUCCUGCUGUCAAACUUGAAAAGUAUGUCUCUAUUCUCCAGGCGGACUCCUGAUUUCAACAACAACUUAGGAGGAAAUGCCUCUCCUAUGGGUAAAAUAAACAUAGGAGGAAAUGCCUCUCCUAUGGCUAAGACUAAACUUAGGAGGAAAUGCAUCUCCUAUGGGGUGAAACUAAAACAAACUUAGGAGGAAAUGCAUCUCCUAUGGGUGAAACUAAAACAAACUUAGGAGGAAAUGCAUCUCCUAUGGGUAAAACUAAACGUAGGAGAAAAUGCGUCUCCUAUGGGUAAAAACAAACUUAGGAGGAAAUGCCUCUCCUAUGGGUGAAACUAAACUUAGGAUAAAAUGCCUCUCCUAUGGGUGAAACUAAACUUAGGAGGAAAUGCAUCUCCUAUGAGUCAAAGUAAACUUAGGAGGAAAUGCGUCUCCUAUGGGUAAAAGUAAA
rnacentral:lncRNA from 1 species